UACAUGUGGACACAGCAUUUCUUGUUCACUUAAAUUGGUACUAUUGUCAUCAAUAAUGAAUUAUAAUUACUCAAAUGUUCCUUUAGAUUCCUUAAAACUGACAAGCAUAGAUCUUUCUUGACUCAGACCAAAGUGUUGUUGCAGAAGAUAAAAUUACAGAGAGACACUUAAAAGCAGGACAGAUGGAAUAUGUGGUGUCACGGGGGAAAAACUGGUUCCAAAAUACAAGCCCACUUCAAACUC